GCGGGGCGGCGCUGAGCGCCUGCGUCUGCCGGGCCGCGUUGGGCUGCGGUGACCAGAGCGUGGUGAGGACGCCGUGUGCGUGACUUGUAAGCGGUUAUUUGUCCGCCGGCAGCCGGUUGCUUCGCUCGGAAUCCUGUUCGUGGUUUUAGCAAAGCAGCGCGGCUCCACGCGCCGAUAAGCGACCUGCCGAGCACAGCUGGGGCUUCCCCUCUCCUCAGGUAUUUCUUAGUUCUGCGCCCAGCGACAGCCGCUGAGGCGGCGGGCCUCGAGGCGUUCAGCAGGCAGCAGGAUGGGCAGAGAGAGGGAAGGCUGAGGGAUUGCUGGCUGCAGGCAGCGUGCCGCCAGCCACACAGCCCAGGUGAGCGUGAAGCCAUCUGUGUUGGUCACGUCCUGAAAUGAGGCUUUCUAAAAACUCCAGAGCGCCGGUGGAGGUGGACGCCUGGCUUAAGAACCGCAUUGCUCGGCGUCGGGGCGCUCAGCAGCUCAUUAGGGACUCAGAAACUGAUGUAGAGGGCACUUAACCCUGCUCACAUUAUCGUCAGUUGAGCCUUCCAGUCUGUGCGUGGGACACCCAGCUGCGCAGCCCUUCACAGCAGGUGAGUGCUCAGCUGGAGGUGGCAGGUGCUGCUUACACACAGCACAUCACCACUAACGUGGGCCUCAGGCAUCCUGCUGGUAGAAACCAGGUAAGCUGUUGUCUGAAAUUCGUUAGGACCUAAUUAUCCUCCAUAUAUAAUACGGAUUUAUAUAUACAGGGGCUUUACACACACAUACGUACCCCAAAUAUGCCUCAGCACAUUUACCUCCUUCCUCUAAAAUCCCUUCAUCUCAUGGCUUCACUGUAAAAAAAAAAAAAAAAAAAAAAAAAAAGACUUGCUGCAUUAAAAUAAACAACAGUACCUUUAUUUUCUUUAAAUGUGCUUUUUAAAUUAUUUAACGCUCCUUGAUUAGAGGAUCAGAUGGUGACAGAAAGCACAGAAAGCAGCCUACAGAAAAUGUCUGCAAGUCCUAAGCACUUUUUCCUGACGCUGCCCAAGAUCGAGGUUUCUAGUCAGUAAGCACAAAUUCUCUCAGCCUGCAAAUCAAAGUCAGUGGAAGGGUUGUGCCUCCGCACAAGGCAAAUUAAUAAAAUCUAGAAACAGGCAGACAGCAAAAUUCCAUGUCUAAACAUGAUCUGUGCUUGGUUUAUAAUUCAAAGGGAUUAAGCAUUACACUUGAUAGGAGUCACUGAAGGUGCCAAAGAGAAAACUGAGUUCGCAGUGGACUUUGAAUUUAUCUGUUGAAUUAGAAGUCUGAUAAAGCUAAAGCAACAAAAACACCCAACUAAGAAGUGGCAGACAACUGUCACAGAUAGGCUGUAAUCACAUGAAGGCCACCUCCCUGUGCCCUACAUAUCGUGUAGGGAAUCUCUCAAAGCUAGUCUGAAUGCUUUUUGCUGUCUUUGUCAUGGUGAUAGUCAAAGUCCUGCAAGUCAGUGUUAGCACCACAGGAGACUCAUCCUUCACUAAAGCUGCGAAGCAAAGAACAAGAUUUAAAAAAAUAAAUAAAUACCAAUCUCAAUUGUUACAUGCAGAGGUAAUCAUUCCAAUGCAAAUAAUCCUAAGCCUCAACAUCACCAUCCUGAGUUGCAAAGGCAAUUGUACUAGGUAUCAGUCACAGAUAAAUUACAAUUAAGGACCUUUUACUACUGAGAAUUCUGAAGAAGGGGGAAGAUUAACACUAUAGCAAAUAUGUGAAAUGAUUGGAGCGACCAAGAUCAGCAUAAGCUUCAUUUAACACUUAUCAGAUCCAGAAGAGAUCUGACCUACAUUCUUGCAGCAUCACUGGGCUGUGGGCAGAAGCCAGCUGAGCAGCUGCGCAGCCGUAGGGGGAAGGGAGAUGUGACACUGAACAUGGCGUUAGCAACAGAGCAGCCUCCUGGACACAGCACUGGAUUAGUCCAGAACCUUGGACUGUUUGCAGCUAUUCCUCUUGGCUGUUUAGCUAAAAACAAGCGUAUUCUCUUAUCUAUGUCCCCUUCCCCCCCCCAAAAAACCUAACUACUUCACACUGCAUUUUCAUAGACAGAGAAAUGCUCUUUGUUAGCAGUGAUUGCGAUUUAGAGAUUAUGGAGAUAACCUGAUGUAAAAAGAUGAGUACUUUCUUAAUACAAGUGUUACAUGGGAUUAUCAAAGCCUAGAGAGAACCAGGCUUGAAAGACCUCAGCUCUGCUCCACCAAUCACAGGACUCAGUCUGCAUUUACAGACCAAAGGGAAGGUGAGCCUGCAAGGACUGAACUUCAGGAGACCACAGCUGCUGUGGCAGAGCCUGGUGUCACUGCUGGGAAGCAAGGUGUGACUGCUGAGCCUGGACAAGAAGCUGAUGCUGGAAAAAUACUGCUGAGCUCCUUCUGCUUGUGCCAGUGUUAUUUAAAGCAACGUUGCAACAACGCAGCAGAAAAGAAAGAAAAUCCUUGUCUCCACUAAAUUCCAGAAAAAUUGUGUCUCCACUUCAUCGAAACCUGUGAAACAGAAACAUCCUUAGACGUUGCUUUCUGUGCAAGUUGUGCCCCAGGAAAGCAGGGCAGUGAGUAGGCACUGAGGGAAGCAGAGCCUGCAGCUGAGAUGAUGUAACAGCAGUAGGCGGAUGAAACUCAACCAAAUUGUCUCAGGCAAUAUCAACUGAUUUUUUAAUUUCUUUAUCAGCUCCUGUUUCUCCCUCAAAUGACAUUUAUGUGCUCUCCAUGCCUAACUGUGAGGAUUUGAGACAGCAUAAAAGAUUAAAGAUGAGGGGAAAGUUAUUCAAAAGAAAGGCAAACAUACCUCAAGCAUAUUUGCUGCUUUUCCUAACCUCAUCUGCAGUCUGACUCCAUGCACAUACUGGGGUUUGUACCAUUUUUGCCCUAGUGUCCACAGAAAUAACUUGGACCACUCAAAUCCUGCAGUCCCUGUUUCUACAUAGGGAGGGAGAUGCUGCUGGGUGGCAGCUCCCCCACUUCCAGCACGGUUAGCAGAAGGCUUCCUAAUGCCACAUGGCACACAAGUGGGGCCAUGCUGCACUUGCUGGUUUGUAAGGAAUGCGUGGCUGCCAGAGCAAGAACAGAACAGGAGUGACUUACUGUAACUGGCCUUCAGAACAGCUUCCAGCAGCUAUUUUGAAUUUGUGAAGACCUCUGAGCAGUGACAGUGAUAUUUCAGUAGACUGAUUUGGCUUGACAGGGUUUUUCUUUACCGUGUGGGUGAUGAAGCAUGGACAUGGGUACCCAGACAGGUGCUGGGGUCUCCAUGGAGACCUCCAAACACACCAGGACACAGUGCCAGGCUCUGGUGGAGCAGCAGGUGCCAGAGGUAUCCAGAGGUGCCCUCAGCCCUAGAUCUGUGGCUACACGGUGCUGUUACACAGCCUUGCAGCUGUUCAAAGUCCAAAAGGCAGAUUCUGGGCUGGUGCUGAUGCCAUGGAUGAUACAAAGCAGAGGCUUUAAGGUUUCAAAGUCCAUGGGAAUAAAUGUAGUACAUUUCACAAGUCAGGCUAAUUGAAAACAUUUUAAAAAGAGAACGUGGUGGAAAAGUGACAGUGCAGCGAAGUGCUGAGGUGGCUGAGCUAACACUGGACAAACCUCAAGAACACAGAAUUGUCUGUUUGGAAAGGAGAAGCUGGAGCAGCCACUCGGAGCCAGCACAGCUCACCAGGGCAGGGCAGUGCCAGGCAGCAUCCUGCUUCCCUGAGGACAAAGGCGGUGGCAGAGCGUGAGCAAAGCCGACUGUAAAGUGGGUCAGGCACAGAAUGAGCAGCAGAGGCUCCUUCCCAGCAGCCCUCCUCCAAGGCCUCCCUAUUUCCACAGAAUGUACACUGACAGCUACAAUAAAGAUGGGUUUUGACAGUCUUACAUUUGACCAGCAUGGUGGUGGUGGUCUCAAACCACCUGAGAAGGACAGGCAGCAGGAAAACAGGCUGAAGUCUUUCCAUCAAACAUGAUGGAAACUGGUUUAAAAAGUAGAGUCCUAUUUGACAAUUCAGCACGUCGUAUUUAAAUGUAUAAUCCCAUUUUAGACUGCUCCUGUUUUGUUUUGUUUCUUUUUUAAGAGAACAGUUGCACUCAGGGGUGAUCUGAUGAGAAAUACAGAUACAGAAGUCAGUAAGAGGGCCAAGUUACAAAUGUUUAGUUCCAUUUAUACCAUCUUACAGAAUGCUGCAUUUAUUUGCAGUGUUGAUGGUUCUCAUCAACAGCACCCAGCCCACAGCUUCCACCAGAGAUGCUCAGCUCAGGUUGUUCUCCUCCUCUUCCACCACCCAGACAGUGAAGGUGGCACAAUGCAGGCAUCGGAACAUCAGCAGCAAUGAGCUGAUGCCAAUUUGAGACACUGCAUACACCUACAUCUGUCUUUAGUUCGUGUUGCAAACCAAAACCAAGGCCCUGACAUCUUCACAGCAGUUUGACGAUGAGGUAAUGGGAUAAACUACUGUGGGUCUCAUGUGCUGCAGCUAAGCAAGAUGCUCUUUGAACACAAGAAGGUUGGAAUGCAUCUCAGUCUGAAGCAGCACCAACAGCAGCUCACGUGUGUUUUUCUGGUCCAGUCCUGUAACCUUCCAAGAAGAGAUGUUCUGGAGCCUCUAGUUCAUCUUUUCCAGUACCACAGUACCCUCCUUCUCUAAAAGUGAUGCUUUUAUGUUUUCUGUAUGUCAGCAGUAUAUAUGUAAGCAUUUAAAUACUAUUAGCAAUCUGUGCUUUAUGUACUAGAAGCUAUCAGUUUUUCAUCUAUAAGCAGUUGCUUACUGUACAGUAAUUGAGAUCAGGCUCAACUCACCUUAAGGACUAAUGCUUUUAAGCUACAGCACAGGUUUUAAAAGGCUAAAACAUGUUGCACUGCUUAAUUUAAAACCUGAAGUGUUGUCUCAGCCUUUCUUUUCCUGGAUAUAUGCCCAAGAACUUGAGUCCCUUGCUCAAGAGAACACUUUGUCUUCAUUCUCAUCCAGAAGGAGCACAGCCAAAUGAAUGAGAGCACCAAAACUUUUAGAAAACCACAGUGAGCUGACUCAGCUGCUUACUCUGCAGGGCUUUCUUAGUGUGCUCACGUGCCCUGGAAGAUGUAUGCCCUGUAUGAAGUCCAAUGUAAUUUUUACUUAAUGCUUAACCUGUUUCCAAACUACCCUGCCUGGAACAUGCAGAGAACCGAUACAGAGCAGGCAUCCCUGUACAACCACAGCUAAGCAGACUGUACGUCUGGGCAGGACACUGCAACAACCUAGAGAGAACGGCAAUGCAGAAGUUGUACAGACCAGAAAGAAAUGAAACAAAUCCUACAUUACCACAAAUUCUCAGCAUACAGGUAAAGCAAGAAGCAAUUACAAAGCGUAUGGCUGGUGUACAAGGAGGUAAGUGGGGCCACACCUUCAGUUAACCCAAGGUAGCAUGGCUUCAUUUGAAAUGCAGAGUGGUCACUUGAUAACACUUGCCUCUUCCAGACCAGACUAUUUUUCCAGAACAAACAGGUGCACUUUGCCUUCAGCCCUGUCCUGUUCAUCGUCACAGCUUCUCCUACUGCAGGAACUUGUGGUGUAACUAGUAAGGAAAUGAAGGGGUAAGAAGGGAGGAGCACAGGGAUGUAUUUAUUAAACUAUGAAGAUAAACUGAGCACUUCCAUACCUUAUUUUUGUGUUGUCCAUGAGAAAACAGACAGCUGGCCUUUAGAAAUUCAGACUGAAUUUUCAAAUUGCCAGAGGAAAGACUUUGCCCCAGGCCCUCACCAUACAGCCCUUAUCAAUGUGACCUUCAGCAAGUGUGAAAAAAAACUCCACGCUGACCUUUGAUCCUAACCAGGGUGGUGCAGGCAGAUGAAACGUCAAAGCUUUCAUCAGCAAUGCGUACAGCUCCUCUUCUCCAAGGCAGAAGUACCGUCCAAGCAGACAGAAAAGAUACCCAGUUCUGUCCAUCUUCACACUGUGCAUCAAGAAACCUUACAGGUGUUGUCAGAUCUAAAGCAGCAGAGCAGUGAUACUGAGCUUGUGUGCAAAAACGUGGGCAACUGGAAACUAUCCGGCUUCAGCCUGAGCCUAGCAGCACAAGCAUCCAUUCACCCUGGAGAAAACAGCACCUACACACAGGAGCCCACAUCAGCCACGGCAGCUGGGCUGUGGGAUGCACUGCAGGGCAGCUGAGACCUGGGGAUGCCAAGGGACAGGCAGCAGGCAGGGGCAGGCAGAGAAAGGCUACGAGAACGAUGGAAAGAAAACCUGCAAAUCUGUUCGUUCCAAACGCUUCCAUCUUCUCCUUUCAGAAAGGAAAUUACCAGAGGCUUUCCUGUGUUCUGCUGUAUGCACCAAUACUUCUAUUCUGGCUUAAUGAUUCCUUAGUUCUAAGAACAGGCCUCUACAAAUGAGAGGCAUUUACUUCAAUCUGACAUACAAAUUCAAGUAAAAGCAUGACUGAAUGCUGAAGAUACAGGACUUUGAGCUACUCCUGCAUCACCUUUCCAAGGAAUCUACCAGUCUCUGCAGAGCAGAAAGAAAGGUCCAUACUGGUGUGUGAAACAAACUGAAAUCCUAAUUACGUGCCAGCAGCAUCAGUUUGAAGUGAAGCUUGGGUGAACUUCUAGUCAGCCAGCUGCUGAAAAAUUGGACGGUCAUUAUUUCUACUUGAAGUUUUCUCUUGAAUCUCACCUUCUAGCUGGCUGGCAAACAGCAAUACUAAUCCCAGAGCAGUAAUUCUUGUUCACAAUGGGCUAUUCUUAAAAAGAAAAGCCUGCAAAUGGCCAGUCACAGCAUAAUUAUGGAGAGAAGUGCAAAACCUGGAGUGACUGUCAACAUACUGACUUUACUAACAACUGCCUGUGUGUGCAUGCAGAAACAGAACAAAUGAACUGCUUCCCACUGCAGCAGUGCAAAAGGUGUGGAAUGGUGUCAGUGAAGGCAGAAGAUCUAUCUGCCAAAGCCCAAAUACAGAGAAUGGCAAGCAAGAGGAAAGGAGACUUAAUGAACUCUCUCUAAAGCAAAGGAACCUUUUUGUGUUAGUGGUCAAAGCAAAAGCUCCCAACAUGCUAUAAAGAAAACAAUAACAGAAGGAACUCCUCCAUGUGAGCAUUAUUUUUAGAAUGCACUUCUCCCUGUAAGGGGUCGCGAUUCAGGACUGAGCUUUCCAGCUAGUCUGAAGGCAGGAUUUUUGCUAAGGAAAGAAGUAACCCCUCCAGCCUUUCAGAAAAGGUGUGAAUUAAUGAAUUUGAAAGGAAGCACCUUGCAAGCUUGAUAAUUAAGCAGCCCUUCAAGAGAAAACCUCAGAAAAGCAAGUCCAAAAAAGUGUGUGAAAGCAGGCCUGCACAUCUGCAACACUUCUGUGUUUUCUCUCACAAGCCAGCAGUAUUAAAAAAAAACCCUCUAUUUGGUCACACAGUCUUUAUACUGAGCCCAAAAUCCAGAGUCUCUUAAACAGUAUGAAAGCAAGGGCCUUCCAUCAGAACAGCCAGCUAAGUUCUUUUAAGAUAUGUCCAAUAAGAAGCUGCAAGUGUGAGCCUUCAUAAUGCAAAACAUCUGAAUGUGCUUUGAACAAAAUCAUCAUCAGAUUCAGAUUAGUAGAAAGGAAAGUUUUUAAACAGAAGUUAACACAGAUCACACUUAUUUUUGUAAUGGAAGCUUGGGCAAUACACAUAGUACUGAAUUUCAAGUUAUUCCUUUAAUAUUUAGAAAACUGGUUUUAUUCUCAGUCUUUCAGAUUUCUUUCUGAAGUAUUAGCACCUACAAUGGAAAUAACUCAAACUUGGAUUUACACUUGAAAAAAAGCCAUGCUUGAUCAGUUAAUGUAUCCUGUAUUUUUCUACUUCUGAAUAUUUCACAGAGCACCAAGAGGGAAAAAAAGAGAGCAACAUUUCAGUAAUAAGUGAGCUCUGUUCUCAGCUACACGAGAUCACAGGACCAGACAUCUCCCUGCGACAGAAUUCAGGUCACAGUUUUCCAGCACACUUCAAUCACCUCAUUUUUAUCAUUAUUUAUGGUAGAAACUUCUCUCCAGGUUUAUAAAACCUAUCCAGCCGUGCAUUAGUUUAUUAAACCAGAGCUGACCUGAGAUGCAAUUAGAAUUUGACAUUUUUCCAUACUUAGUUCACAAGUUUAUUAUGAAAAACACUGCAGCUCUGUCCUGCAGUAACAUUGUUUUACAGAAAAAAACAGUUCUGUUCAAAGUAACUCACUAUGCUCAGACAUUACAAGGGACAAAAUGGUUGGGCAGAGAGUGGAAAAGGGAACUGAGUGCAGACAAAAAAAAAAAAUCAAUACAA